rnacentral:rRNA from 1 species
CCUACGGGGGGCAGCAGUGGGGAAUAUUGGACAAUGGGGGGAACCCUGAUCCAGCCAUGCCGCGUGUGUGAAGAAGGCCCUCGGGUUGUAAAGCACUUUCAGUGAGGAAGAACGCCUGGUGGUUAAUACCCAUCAGGAAAGACAUCACUCACAGAAGAAGCACCGGCUAACUCCGUGCCAGCAGCCGCGGUAAUACGGAGGGUGCGAGCGUUAAUCGGAAUUACUGGGCGUAAAGCGCGCGUAGGUGGCUUGAUAAGCCGGUUGUGAAAGCCCCGGGCUCAACCUGGGAACGGCAUCCGGAACUGUCAAGCUAGAGUGCAGGAGAGGAAGGUAGAAUUCCCGGUGUAGCGGUGAAAUGCGUAGAGAUCGGGAGGAAUACCAGUGGCGAAGGCGGCCUUCUGGACUGACACUGACACUGAGGUGCGAAAGCGUGGGUAACAAACAGGAUUAGAUACCCUGGUAGUC